rnacentral:lncRNA from 1 species
GGUUCAUGGCAGGGACCGAGCAGUGAGGAUGGGCACUGCCCUGUGUCCUAGCAGAGGGCUGCCUUCUGGCUCCCCAGCCUUGGCCAGCAGCCCUUCUAUCUUCAUGCCAUGACCUAUUUUUGUUCACCCAGUUAGUGUAUGGCCUAUUUCUUUCCUUAAGAAUUACUUCAUAACUUUCACAGAGUAAUAGCACAUGCUGAGCACAGCAUUCAUGAACUUGGACACACGCACACAAAAUGUCCCUUUAAAUUCACAGAGCAGUAUCUGAGAUCCAGGUAGAAAGACCAAAAGGAAAAUUAAGAACAGACUCUCAGACCUGCCUUCCCUUUGCAUUCAGAGCACUGCGUGUUUUGAAAUAUACAAAUAGUGGGAAACGAAAUCUUUGUUCUGGAUGCAGUUAUAAUUUGGAAAGCGAGGAAAUAAAUUAUAACAAGGGGAAAAAACAGCACUCCACGAAGAGGCCUUGGCUAGCUGCACAUCUCCCUACAUGGGUAUGUCAAGAUCACCAACUCUGCUUACAGCAGUUCCCAGAUGAAACUCUUCAUAAUUUCAGAUGCACCUUUAAUACCAGUGAAGGUUUACCUCCAGGCCCACAGUCUGGGUCUUUCCAGAGACACCCACAGCAAGAUGUCACCUGCUUUUUGAUGUCAUCAGAGUCAAACACAAACACCCACCACUGUGGUUUCCAUGUCUAAUUCGCAAAUGGCUUUAACUUUGAGCUGGCCCACAAUGUUGUAUUAACCCCACUCAGGUAUCAUCUUUCUCCGUGGGUGAACCCAUAGUGACCUUUCCUUCUGAUUCUUCUUUUACUCUAAGGGCAUGAUUUUGGCAAACUGUCUAUAUGUACACUGGAAACAACUUCAACUUGCUUUUAUGUUGAUUUCACUUCUCCACUUUCAAUGCAGAAAGCUAAUCAGCAAUGCCCUAGGUUACUAAGAGAGGACAAUUCUUUCUUAGCCCAUUGAAUUAUGAGCAUUUUCUUGGAAAUGCAGCAAAAUGUGUUCUGACAGAUGCCUUUGGGUCCCUUGGGUUCUUUGCUAAGACAGCUAUAGAGAGAGGGCUCAAUAAGGUGGGGCCUGUGAUGGGACAUUGUUUUUACUGCACUGGUGAUAGAACAAAAGUCAGACAGGGCACAACACACACUGAUACAACCAAUCACCCAGUCACACUGCAGCCUUAGGAAACCCAUGAGCUUGUGGCAGCAGGCAAACUUGCUUCAGAGUUCCAAGAAUCCAAAUGUUCCUGGUGUGUCUGUUGUCUUGCGAUAUAGACUGAGAUCACAGGAUUGAAGAUACGACCAGAGUCAUGCUGUUGAAAGAGACUGGCUGAGUAGUGAUGAAAAAUAAACUUGGUCAAUCUA